UGGAAGGUAGCUCAGUGGUAGAGCCCUCGCCUAGCAUGUGUGAGGUCCUGGGUUUAAUUCCCAGCAUUGCAA
rnacentral:tRNA from 1 species